CGUGGGGACCACGGCGACAGGCCUGGCUGUCAUGAGGAGAAGCGCGCGAUUCACCCUGCACCGCCGCGGUGUGCCUAGGUUAUUUGUUUGUUUUCUUACUUUUGUUUUGUUUUUUAACCUGCCCUACUGGAGCCACGAGAAGAGCGGCAACAACAGUGGAGACAAUGGAAGGCGGGCUUUAUCCCAUGGUACCCUACCAAGCAGGUCCUUGAAGAGGCCAAAGUGUGCUCAAAGACAGCCAACAGGGCUUCACCAAGGGCAGAUUGUGCCUGACUAAUCUAGUAGCCUUCUACAAUGGAGUGACUGCAUCAGGGGACAAGUGAACAGCUGUGGAUGUCAUCUAUCCGAAAUUCUGUAAGGCCUUUGACACAGUCUGCUACAAUGUUCUUACCUCUAAAUUGGAGAGAGAUGAGUUUGAUGGAUGGAUUGUUAGUUAGAUGGAUAAGAAAUUGGCUGAAUGGCUGUUCUGAUUUGGUUUGGUGGGUUUUUUGGUAGCGGGGGAAGGGCACCAGGAGUGGCUCUAGUAAGAAGCUGAGAAGCUCCCCUUGCUCCAAACCCAGUCAAGGUGCCAUUAGAGGGACAAUAGAUACGCCUCAGCGAUUAACAUAUGAAAGAACUGAUAUAACACCUGAGCAGAAAAGCACUGAGAGGAGAAGAGCUGUGCUGGAGAGAGAGUGGUGCUGGUGGUUGGUGGGGAAGAAGGUGCCCUAGCAGAAGUUUCCCUGCAACCCAUAGUGAGAUGGCAGGCUAUCCCCCUGCACUCAUGGAGGAACAUAGUGAAACAUUCACUGAAGGCACCAGGAGGGGUGAACUUGGCCACUGGACUUGGAUGUUGUGGCCAGUGGAUUUGCUGCCUGUGGACUCUGCGCAGCUUUGGAAGACCCCGGUGCCAGGGGAGUUGGCGGUUCCUGAAGCAGCCCACGACUGUGGGAAGCCCACACUGGAGCAGCUUGCUCCAGACCUCGUGGGAAGGACUCAUGAAGGAGAGGUUCGUGGAGGCCUCUCUCCCAUGGGAGGGACCCCAUGGGGAAGGCCUGUAAGGAAUCCUUCCUGAGGAGGAUGGCGCGGCAAGAACCACCAGCCUGUGAACUGACUCUAAACCCCAUCCCCCUGUGCCGCUGGGGGGAAAGGAGAGAGAGAAACUGGGAACAAAUUUGGGCCCGGGAACAAGGGAAGGGUGGGGUAACAUAUGUAAGCUCUGCUUUUUGUGUUGUCUGUGUCCUGUGUGUGUUUGAUUAGUGUGAAAUUAAAUUAUUACUUUUUCCCCAA